GGUGAGACCCCAUCUCUAAAUACAGAGAAAAAAAUAGAAACAACCAAAAAAAAACAGGCCUAAGCAGGACCUGACGCUGGGGCCGUGCAGAAGCAGCUUGCUGCACUUGGUCUUGAUGGCCUCUGGGUCAGGAGGCCUUGUGCCUUCAGGUGAGUGUGCCGAACGGAACCCCUCAGCUCAACCCAGUGUUUUUGCAAGGUUACUUCCGGGAUAAAGGAAAGAUGAGGUGAGCGCUGCCUCAGCACAGGGAGCUCAGGGAUAGCAGGUCCAUGUCAGCCUGGGUCUGCGUGAGCAGGUGAGAAGGAAUCUGCCUGCCUCCCAGCAGGUGCCCUGAGCACCCUCCAGCACGGCCUGCCUGCCCACAGGCACGGGGAAAAGGCUCAGGUCUCUGUGAGCCCUGGCUGAUAGAUCACCUUGCCUCCUUAGUGCGGUCAUACUGCUGGGAUCCUGGCAGAGACAACCUACCUUCCAUAGAGGGGACACGUCACCCCAGGAUUCUGCCACAGGACUUUUGGAGCAAAUUGAUGCCCCUGAACACAGAAUGAGUGACCUGGAAGACGAUGCCAAAGACACUUCCUCCUGCCCCGUUCUUAGCAGAUGAUGUGGCUUCCUCCUUCUGUGACGCACUGCAGCAGCCCCUCCUCGAGGUCCAGAGCCCUAGGCCUUCCAUGCUCCCAGGCUCAGUACUAGACUCCUGGUCACCCCAACAUCUUUAUUUUUGCCUCCCUGCUCUGGGGGUUGUAGCUUCUUCCUUCACCAACUCUGUUACUUCAGUAUCCCUUUUGCACUUUCAGCCCUCAAACCCCAAGUAAAUACGCUUUCACUUCCCUUUCUUGA